AGUUAGCGGCGAACUGGUGAGUAACACGUAGGUAAUCUGCCGUGAAGUGGGGGAUAACCCAUGGAAACAUGGACUAAUACCGCAUAUACUCUUGCUACAUAAGUAGAGUAGAGGAAAGUUUUUUCGCUUCACGAUGAGCCUGCGGCC
rnacentral:rRNA from 1 species